rnacentral:lncRNA from 1 species
GUAGUUUCGUUACGAAGACAGGUAAUGGUUUCGUUGUGAGUAUUUGUUUACAUCUAGCGUGGCAUGCAUAUGCGGUUUACAAAUUUUAAUAUAUUUUGCUUUUUUUCGGUGUGGAUCUUUGGAUAGUUAAAGAGAAAUGAAUCUUAUGUGCAGCUAUUGUGACUCUACAUUUGAGAACAUAAAAGGCACAGUGUGUCAUUGUGUUGAGGAUCACCCGGCAGAAAAGGUGUCCUACAUGUGGAAGUCGAUUGACGGGAGGAGUAAUCGCCAAAGGACAUACAAUGUAUUGGGGUCUAAUGUUACCGGCAAAGAAAUCAGUUUUGAUCUGGGAAAAUGAUAGUACCUACCAAAUCUUCAGCCAGCGAAAACUACACAAAAUCAACACACCAUCAAAAUCAGUUCAUCGUCAGUAAUAAUCACAAUUAGAAGUCGACCAAGAACAUGUCGAAAACUUAUCUUCAACUGAGGCACCCGAUUCAGUUGCUGAGUUAUCGGAACUGUUGGACACCACAGUGUUAUAUUCGGAUUCAGAGCCCGACAUUGAGGAGUAUGAACUAAUGGAAAAUGCAAAUGACAUCCCUGAUGACGUAAUGGCGGACACACAAACUGUACAAAUGGUAGUUCAGCAACUUAAAACGUUAUUGUCGUCUGUUACCGCUCAUUUAGCUGAUUGUGGUCGUUUACAUGAAUGGAUGAAUAUCUUUCAUUUGACUGACUCUGGAGAUUUUAGUGUAAAGCACAUUGCAGCCCAGUUGUUUCUAGAUGUCAUAGAGUUUUCAAGCCUAGAAGAUGUGCGGCUAAUGAGAUACACUCCUGAAGUGAGACAGUUUUGCACAGUCGGACAGGCGCUGUUUAAAUCUAAGUUUCUGCGAUUCAUGGGAGGAUACAAUGUGUUUUCAGGAGCAAUUGAGCAUGGAGACAGUGACAAUAAAUCAAUGACAAAGUCUGAUAUUAACAUGAUAAAUUUUGUUUGUCCAAACAAGGAUGUAUUAAAGGAAGAGAUGAUUUCGGAUAAAAAAUAGAGUGGCAUAUCAACAAGAUUUAAACACGUGAAAUGGAUGAAGUAACUACAUAUUUGUAUUCAAAUCAAUGCAAAAAGUUACCAAGACGAAUGCUUUUAAGUGAAACUUAAACAGACGAGAAUGAAUCAUCUUUCCCUAAUGUUAAACACAACAAAUUAAACAAAUUAUAUUAAAGGUCUGCACACAUGCAUAAUUAUUAUCUAAUGGCUUCAGAAGAAAACCUAGACAUA